AACGUACGCUGGCGGCACGCCUAACACAUGCAAGUCGAACGAAGUAGCAAUACUUAGUGGCAGACGGGUGAGUAACAUGUAGGUAUCUGCCCUUUGGCCUGGAAUAACACGAGGAAACUUGUGCUAAUACCGGAUAAGUCUUUACGGAGAAAGCUUUAUGCACCAUUGGAUGAGCCUGCACUUGAUUAGUUUGUUGGUGGGGUAAUGGCCUACCAAGACUGUGAUCAAUAGCUGAUUUGAGAGGAUGAUCAGCCACAUUGGGACUGAGGCACGGCCCAAACUCCUACGGGAGGCAGCAGUGGGGAAUCUUGCACAAUGGAGGAAACUCUGAUGCAGCGAUGCCGCGUGAGUGAAGAAGGCCCUUGGGUUGUAAAGCUCUUUCGUCGGGGAAGAAAAUGACUGUACCCGAAUAAGAAGGUCCGGCUAACUUCGUGCCAGCAGCCGCGGUAAUACGAAGGGACCUAGCGUAGUUCGGAAUUACUGGGCUUAAAGAGUUCGUAGGUGGUUGAAAAAGUUAGUGGUGAAAUCCCAGAGCUUAACUCUGGAACUGCCAUUAAAACUUUUCAGCUAGAGUAUGAUAGAGGAAAGCAGAAUUUCUAGUGUAGAGGUGAAAUUCGUAGAUAUUAGAAAGAAUACCAAUUGCGAAGGCAGCUUUCUGGAUCAUUACUGACACUGAGGAACGAAAGCAUGGGUAGCGAAGAGGAUUAGAUACCCUCGUAGUCCAUGCCGUAAACGAUGUGUGUUAGACGUUGGAAAUUUAUUUUCAGUGUCGCAGGGAAACCGAUAAACACACCGCCUGGGGAGUACGACCGCAAGGUUAAAACUCAAAUGAAUUGACGGGGACCCGCACAAGUAGUGGAGCAUGUGGUUUAAUUCGAAGAUACGCGCAGAACCUUACCAACACUUGACAUGUUCGUCGCGACUCUAAGAGAUUAGAGUUUUCGGUUCGGCCGGACGAAACACAGGUGCUGCAUGGCUGUCGUCAGCUCGUGUCGUGAGAUGUUGGGUUAAGUCCCGCAACGAGCGCAACCCUCACUUUUAGUUGCCAUCAUUAAGUUGGGCACUCUGAAAGAACUGCCAGUGAUAAGCUGGAGGAAGGUGGGGAUGACGUCAAGUCCUCAUGGCCCUUACGUGUUGGGCUACACACGUGCUACAAUGGUAUCUACAACAGGAAGCAAGACUGCGAAGUUAAGCAAAUCCCUAAAAGAUACCUCAGUUCGGAUUGCACUCUGCAACUCGAGUGCAUGAAGCUGGAAUUACUAGUAAUCGUGGAAUCAGGCGUGCCAACGGUGAAAUGCGUUCCCGGGUCU
rnacentral:rRNA from 1 species